UGUGUUGCUUGUUUGAAUACUAAGUUAUCUAGUGGUGAUAGCUUAGUGGGCAAAGUGAAAUUUGCUUAAGCUCUUCAAGCAGUAGAGUUAUUGCUUGGUUGCGAGAUAAAUAACUUUUUCUCACGUUGUUGUAAUCUGAUUUCACUUUUGCUUGAGAAAGAUUAGUGAAAACGGUUGAAAAUUCUGUGUGACAGGUCGUGGUUUUACUCCCUUGAGCAAUGAGGUUACCAGGUAAACUGCUUGUGCUAUUUUUUGUGUUUUCUUACUCUUUGUUCUUACUUCGAGUGUGUCAAGGGACCUGGACCGUUGACUGAUAUUGGACGCAAGUAUUCUAACAAGUAGUAAUUGUUUUUUCUUACUCACCUAUAAAGGGGAACGGUAGCAAA
rnacentral:misc_RNA from 1 species